rnacentral:rRNA from 1 species
UAACUAGCUGCCAGGGCUCUUAGAGCUUUGGUGGCGCAGCUAACGCAUUAAGUUAUCCGCCUGGGGAGUACGGUCGCAAGAUUAAAACUCAAAGGAAUUGACGGGGGCCUGCACAAGCGGUGGAGCAUGUGGUUUAAUUCGAAGCAACGCGCAGAACCUUACCAGCGUUUGACAUCCUCAUCGCGGAUUCCAGAGAUGGAUUCCUUCAGUUCGGCUGGAUGAGUGACAGGUGCUGCAUGGCUGUCGUCAG